UUGACCAAAAUCGGGUUUAGGGCUUUAUUUGAACUAUUUUUCAAAACAUAGGGUCCAAAAAGUAAUGUGUCAAAACACAAGAUCCAAACAGGUAAUGGUAAUGGAACAAAACAAGGGGUCCAAAAAAUAUAAACCUAUAAAAAAAAAUAAAAAUAAUCUCUAAAAUAGAAAAAUAUUAAAUAAAUCUGAUAUAAAUUUUGUAAUGAUAAAAUAAAUAUGAUUUAAUUAAACAUUAUCAUUUAAAUUAAAUUAACCUAAACAAAUAACUAAAACGCCCAAAUUUUUUCUUCUCCUCCUCCUUCUUCCGAAGGAUGCAGGUGGCUAGAAUGCAGGUGGACGAGGCUUCUUCAAAUUUGGUCAUAGGUGACUUGGACGCAGUGGAUGAGGCUGGGGAAGUCGCGAGGGUGGUCAACUACAUAGACUCGGUGGAGCUAGGUUCGUUGGGCUCAGAUCUUAAGCUGAGAAAGUGGAAGGAGUGAGUUUGACGUUGGGGCUCAACUCAGCCAUAUAGAUAAGAGAAUUAAAGUACAAAACCACAUCUACAUCUCCACAUUCCUGAAAUCAUCACCCAAUUGAAAUUCUUCUCCACAAUAAACAACUUUUUAUAAGUAUGGUGAGAGUUUAACAAGUCAAAAAAUUUCACUGCAAUUAAGAGUCAAAAUAAGGAGGUGUUGUUCGAUGAUCGACCAGCUGUACAUUGCUUCACCAUACUUCACGAUUAGAUACGACCAGUCUGGUCGUAUGAUUCGGUUUAUUUCCUUUAAAGAUUGUAAUCUUAUAAUAAUUACGUUGAUUAUUUCCUCUUUAUUACCUUGAUACAUGGAUAUUAAGGAAAGUUAAGGCCCAUUGGCCCAUGUAACCUCCAUUGAGCUUAUAAAUAUGCAUGAAAUAGCUCAAGGAAGGCACUUUUUGGUUUUUUUUUUAAUCUUUUUCCUGAAUACUGAGAGAAAGAGCAUACAGUGCAAUUAUCCUCCAAAUAGUUGUAUUUCCCCUAAGGCUUGUGAAGCCUAGUUCUUUGAUCACGGCAUUGAGAUUCAAUAUUAAUAAUAGCACUAAGUGGACGUAGGUCAU